UACGGAGGGUGCAAGCGUUAUCCGGAUUCACUGGGUUUAAAGGGUGCGUAGGUGGGCAGGUAAGUCAGUGGUGAAAUCUCCGAGCUUAACUCGGAAACUGCCGUUGAUACUAUUGUCUUGAAUAUUGUGGAGGUAAGCGGAAUAUGUCAUGUAGCGGUGAAAUGCUUAGAUAUGACAUAGAACACCAAUUGCGAAGGCAGCUUACUACACAACCAUUGACGCUGAGGCACGAAAGCGUGGGGAUCAAACAGG
rnacentral:rRNA from 1 species